AUUGAACGCUGGCGGCAGGCCUAACACAUGCAAGUCGAGCGGAAGAAAGGAGCUUGCUCCUGGAUUCAGCGGCGGACGGGUGAGUAAUGCCUAGGAAUCUGCCUGGUAGUGGGGGAUAACGUCCGGAAACGGGCGCUAAUACCGCAUACGUCCUGAGGGAGAAAGUGGGGGAUCUUCGGACCUCACGCUAUCAGAUGAGCCUAGGUCGGAUUAGCUAGUUGGUGGGGUAAAGGCCUACCAAGGCGACGAUCCGUAACUGGUCUGAGAGGAUGAUCAGUCACACUGGAACUGAGACACGGUCCAGACUCCUACGGGAGGCAGCAGUAGGGAAUAUUGGACAAUGGGCGAAAGCCUGAUCCAGCCAUGCCGCGUGUGUGAAGAAGGUCUUCGGAUUGUAAAGCACUUUAAGUUGGGAGGAAGGGCAGUAAGUUAAUACCUUGCUGUUUUGACGUUACCAACAGAAUAAGCACCGGCUAACUUCGUG
rnacentral:rRNA from 1 species